UUUGCUACACACACCAAAAAUAAAAGGACACGAAAAAAAACGAAAAGAAAAACGCAAAAAAGAAUCUAAAAGCCGCUGGAGUGCAAUUGAGAUCUCCCCCCUCUUAGCCUCCCGUCUCCUUCAUCAGACCCCACAACAUAAGUCCCCAAAAAACAGUAACACCUUCACCAUAGAACCCUCUCCGUUCUGGCUUCCAUCCUCGCCCAAGCUGAAGCAGCCUUCAGCCGCAUAACACCAAUCACACUCCCUAAUUUUGUCUUCCUCCCCGUUUCUAAACCCACACACACAUACAAACAGAGAUGGGGAAUUUCAGUCCGAAAAAUCGAAUGAAAAGUAAGUGAGAAUAGAUUUGGGACGAGCCAAAAACAGAUUCGUCUCCCCAUCCUCUGUUUCUUCAUUUUUCAAUUUUUGGCUUUUAAUUUAAAUUUUGAAACGACGGACUUCAAGUUAAUGAAUAUGGAUUCGGAGUCACUGGUUGCUGUCGAAUUCAGAGCCGCUAUUUUAGUUGGUUCGCUGCUUCGAGUGUCCGUCCGAGAACUAUAUUGAGUGCGAGUUCGAGUUUGAGGUUGCCGGCGGGUUUCCCUGUCCGAGUUCCUGUUACUGUUACUUCUUCCGGUCAGAUUAGGUCGUCACAGUUUAUUGUCACUGAGUUAUUAAUAUAAUUGAGGUCAGAUUCUCAUUCUCGUCGUUCUUCUCAAUUUCGUGCAGUAAAUUUGGAUGACAUGGACUUAUUCGGUACAUGAAUGUUUGAAAUGGUCGAUACUUGUUCAUGUUGAUGUUCAAUCUGAUUUGCGCUCUUCUUCCCUUGUUAUUUUCCUUCAAUAAGUUAAUAUGAGAAUUUUUUUUUUUGAAGUUUGGUAUUAAAAAUGCUUGAAAUUGGUUUUCAACAACAAGACCGGAUGAAGGUGUGUACGUUAGUUCUGAUUUGGUGUUCAAUCUGUUUGGAUGAUCAAAUAAGAUAUAACAUUUCAGAAAUCUUAAAUGGUUCGUUUUCAAUC
rnacentral:lncRNA from 1 species